AUGUUAAAAAGAGGUUUCCAAAAAAGCAUUUUGAUUAAAUUAGCCUGCAACAGUAAUGCCAUUGCCUAAAUAUUUACAAAAAAAUUGCGAGACGAGACGACUCGCAACGUUCCCCUGAAAGAGCAGAGUUAAAGAGCCGACCCAUUUCCAAAUGAGUCCAAAGAGAAUGCUGAGGAGUGGAGCAUGUGACACAAACUAAAAAUGGUCAAAAAGGGUCAUGACCUUUUUAUUUAUGUCUGCCGUGUUGUAAUUUUAAUGGCACUGUUUUGGUUGUGUGAGAUUUUAGGUUUGGUAUGUGUAGUUUUCUAAUAUCAGUCACUUUUAAAGACAAAACUUGCUUUAUUAAUGCUUACGCUCUUUUCUUGUUCUUUAUUUCAAAAUGCCACAAAGUGAGAACAAAGUUCUCUAAACAGAAGCCUGAAAUUAAAGAUGUGAUGCAUAUAGAGGAGGUCUAAUAGAGAUAUGUCUCCUGAAUUCACCAAAGUACACCAUGAGGUGCUCCAAAGAUUUGAAAUAAUAAAUCGUGCCUUUCUUUUCAGACCAGAAGAUCUAUCAGGGUUAAGGCAGAUUUGCUUUAGUUCCAUAAAAGCUUGUCUCGUAUGUCUUUGAUAAUAAAAAGUACAUCUGACCCAGUCACACUCUGUAAAACAUCUGAGCAGAAACGCUAGAGAUAUCUAAUAAAGACAGACUUUUUCUGUGGUUUAGAGAAAAAGGUUUACUUUUUUCCUCCUAUAAUUUGGACAGAAACCGAGAGGAGGAGAUCAGAACUCUUUUGAGUCCCUUAAUGACCUCCCCAAAUAAAACAUGUCGCUCCAUGCUGCUGUUUUCCCAGAUGAGCAAAGCUAAAAAGCCAAAGUCAACUAAUGGCUUCUGGUAAAAUCCUGUUCUCUUCUAUUUUCUCAGACCUGGGAAUAGCUUGUCCUUUCAGCUCAAACUGUGUUGUGUGAAUGGAAAAAAUGUUUCAUUUUUCUCUGUCAACAAAAUGUCAUCCCAGACAUCUCAUUAUCUUCUAUCAAAUGUCUUGUAUGGAUUAGAUUUAUUAUGAAAAGUUAUUAUGGAAAAGAAGGUAAGACCACUAGAUUAUAAAGAUAAGAGAUAUGACAGCGUUCUUCUACAGCAAAUGAGCUCCUUACUGCAAAGCAACACAGCCACGUAAAUCUGCCUGAAUGGAAUUACAGAGGCACACACCGAUUAGUACAUUGUACCAUGCAAAAACGUAAAUUCAAUUCAGUUGAAUUCAGUUUUAUUUGUAUAGCACUUUUCACAAUGGAAGUUGUCACAAAACAGCUUUACAGAAACCCAGAUAUAAAAUUUAAAUUAAAAAUUCUAACGUAUCCCUAUUGAGCAAGCCAGAGGUGGCAAGGAAAAACUCCCCGAGACAACACGAGGAAGAAACCUUGAGAGGAACCAGACUCAAAAGGGAACUUCAUCUGGGUGACACCAGAUAGUGUGAUUAUAAAUAAUUUCUGUUCUAUAACUACAUACUAUAAAGUCAAGCAGUGCUAACUGUGUUAAAAGGAACUUGAGUAUGAGCAUCAUUAGAGUUUUAACUUUAAAUUUCUUGUAUUAAACUGAAGUUAUCUACUGUUCUGUGAUGGAGACUUGAGUGUAAACUGUUCUUACCAAUUGCUGUCUUUAGGCUAUCCAAGGAAGAACAUCCACAGCCAUCUUUAGGGUGUCUGUGUCAUACCAUCCACAGUAAACCCAAUGGUGAUCUGUAGGUUAUCCAUGAGGAGCCAUCUUCUGCAGCAGUGUGUGAUUUUCAGCGGAACGCAAGCUACAAAAUUAAACCCCCGACCCAAUUUUACACUCCCGGAGAAUAUGAUGGAAUACAGUUUCAGAUAAUGUAACAGCAGAGAAGCCGGGCCAUGAUCUCUACGGGUUGUGUGAAGAUUUCUGUGACUCACUUUCUGCUGCUGUGAUGGUCCCACAUAGAUACCCUAAAAAUCUGCACUUCCUAAAAACAGUUUACGCCCAAGACUUGCACUUUCCUCAGUAGAUAAUCUCACAUGAAUACUGCAGAUUUGUACCUAAGAACUGCUGCUGUAAUCAUAAAGACUGUCCCUUAUCCCAUGACUCUUAUUCACAAUACAAUCUUACUAAACAUCUUUUCAAAACAUGUGAUACUGUUUGACUUUAUAGUAUACAUUUGUAGAAGAGUAAUGAUUCACAAUCACAAUCUUUCGGUGUCACCUAUAAGAGGAUGUGUUGCCUUUUGAGUCCACUACCAUUCAUACUAGCGUUCUUUGACUCACACAUUCGAACUACACUGAGCGGAACUAGGUUAAUCUCUGUAGUCUACAUGAUGCAUCAUUGGUUCAAACCCCAAUGUCACUCACACACACACACACCACAGUUUGACAGCUCAGCUUGAGAGGUUCCUCUCAAGGUUUCUUCUUCGUAACAUCUCAGGGAGUUUUUUCUUGCCACUGUCACCUCUGGUUUGCUCACUAGGGAUAUAAAUCUACAUCCAAAUUUCUUUAAAGCUGCUUUCUGACAAUGUCUAUUGUUACGUGCACUAAAUAAAUAAAAUUCUGUUGAAUUGAAAAUGUGCCUGCUUUUAAUAGACUGUGAUUUUUUAAUUUUGUUCCUAUUCUCCCUCUGGCAGACCAAAUCGUCUCCAUGACCACUUCUACAGGUCGAUUCCCAGAGACAGAGAAAGACAGAGGUAUACAGUUGAUAAAGAGAUAAAAAGACAGGAUAAUAAAUGAGGUAUAUGUUUGAGGAGAAAACAGGAAGUGAGGUGAAACAAUGUGAACUCUACACUAUGAUGUGAGAGUAGGAAAGUAAAUUGGGCUCAUUUUAAAACUGCAUUUGGAUUUCAAUUAUUUUAAAGGUUCAGUAUUUUAAUACAUUCAGAAAUUCAGGAGCCUUUAAUUUAUACUGCUACAGACACAACGAACACUAGCGGUGGUGCUACACUUUGCACUUGUAUUGCAUAAAUCAGAAAUAAAUAAAUUAUCAUUUAAGAGUCCCUAGAUCCAAGAAAAAAAAUCCACCAUAUUCAGUUUUGCGCAGGAAUAUUUUUUAUAACUUAAGCCCCUUCAACACACAGGCUGAAGUUCAAAUCAUUUCCUAUUCACUAUAUAUGCUCACUACAUUGUGUAUGAUUAUAGUGGCCUUGUAGAACCUACACAGUGAACUACAUGUCCAAUAAAAUGCCAAAAUAUGUGAAAGUAUGCCAACUGACAGUCAUGACAACUCUCGGAAUGAAAUUAGCAAGCGUUUCUUGAUAAGAAUGAAGCGUAAGUAGGUUUGAUCUUGGCAGACUAGACCUGCUAUGCUACUGCUGCUGCUGAGCAAGUACAAGACUUGCUUAGUUAAGCAUACUCGGACACAGAGAUAUUAAGAACCAUGCUUCUGCUGCGAAAAAUUUGCCCGUACAGAUCUAGAUGGAUGGCGCUGGGGAGGAGGAGGGUAAAUGGGAAUUCUCAUGGCACGUGUGGAAACCGUGCCCGGCUAGUUUAUUCAGGAUAAUGGAGAGUUACGUAAAUGGAGAGGCGGACCGAUUGGCUGUAUCACUGGUGUCGAGAGAACCAAUCAGCGCGCAGACAAAGUUUCAUGACUGAACUAGACAUUUAGUAAAAUAUGUCAUGUAUUGAUUUAGACCAUAAAACAUUCUGCUAUGUCAAGUGACACACAGGUUUUAUUUAAUCAAAACGUUUAAGAAAUGAGUUUCAAUUGACUCGACCUUUGAUGCAAAGUAGGCUAUGGGGUCUUAAACAUUUGCAUGUUGCUUAUAUAUUUUUGAAUGUGUAAAUAUUAUUAAAAUUUUUUGUAAAAUUUAAACUGUAAAAUUCAUUCUCAUAGCCCUUCUGCAAUUGUGGCUCAUGUUCAAUGAGACUGCACCACUGACUGCAGUAUUUUUUAUAUUCAUAAACAGACAAGAAUAUCACAUUACAUUUACUAGUAUGUCUGAUCUGAAUGAAGCUCUCCAGUGCUACGGAAAAUAAUAAAUCGAAUUUGCCCUGAGUGUGCUGGGAGUGUGCCGCUCCAGCUCAGAUGAGUAUGCCGGUCCUGUGAGUCUAAUGUGUCAGAGGCAUUCACACACUUUAGGAAAAGGCGUUUUUACCUUAGGAAAGACAAAGCACAAGGAAACAGCAGCAGGAACAAGGACAAGGUCUUUAUUAUUCAUGGAAACAAGAUCUGGUAAUGUGGAUACUAAAAUGCAAAUCUGCCAGAAAAAAAAUGAAAGAUGAUACAGAUACAGAAAGAGAGAGUGAGAGAGAGAGAGAGAGAGAGAGCAAGCUCAUUAUUAUGCUAACCGUCUCUGGGGACCAAACCGGCACUAAUGGGCAAAAAAUACACAGGCACACACCCCAUACACACUCUCACACAGCGGUAGCAUGCUUGUAUGCAUGUGUGUGUAGAGGAUGCCAUGUUUUUAGCACAAGGACAGGGAUGUCUGACAAAAAAGUUCCCUUACAAAGUCAAAACUGUCACAUAUUCCUGUCCUUAUGGGGACAUUUGGUCCCCAUCAAGAUAAAAAAAACAAAACAUGCACCACACUAUGCCACACACCCAUCAGUUUCUCAAAAUCUGUGAGUAGCUCCCCAACCCCCUUCCUUUUUUUUUUAAUCCACUACCAUUCAUACUAGCUUUCUUUGAUUCACACAAUCACACAACACUAAGCUGGUCUUGGUUAAUCUCUGUAGUCUACAUGCGUCUUUGGUUCAAACCCCAAUGUCUCUCACUCAUACACACACACACUCACACACACACCACAGUCUGACAGCUCAGCAGUGCUGAAAGCCUUCCACUGAACCUCCAGACAGAGGCUGAUGACCUGGAAACCUCUCAGGAGCUCAGCCUAUCAGAUAUGAGCCACUGACUGACAGGCAUCCACAGCACACAGCAGAAAGGUCUACAUCUGAUCAAACUACCAAGGGAUCUGUCAGCUGGCAGAUAUACGAUAUAAAAAUGAUGUUCAUAAUAUAUCAGAUUAAUUUAUUGUUAUCGCAAAAUAAUAUCAGUGUCAUUUUUAUAAUAGUAGUGGGAAUGGCAUUUUGGAGGAUUCAAAAAGGUUUCUCAAUAAAAUCCCACGACUUUCAAUGCGUUGUUUACAGGAGACCAUUAUUUAUUUUAGCAUUUUUAAUUCAGAUAUGACAAAUGUUCCUCCUGUCUUCAAUAAGCCAGAUGUUAGAUUGCUUGUUUUUCGUCGAGGCUGGACUAAAAUCAUCCUUCAUUCAAGUACACUUAAACUAAUGUAUUGAAUGUCAGAUGUGAGUGUUUAGAUUUACUUUUACAAUUACAAUUACAUUUACAUUUACAGAAUUUAGAUGAUGCACUUAUCCAGAUCAGCUUACAGAAUUGCUUUAUAGUCUCCGUCAAAAACAUAUCCUGAUGCUAGUUCAUUAGAUCAAGGUCUAAAAAUACCAUCAAGCCCGUACAGCAGGAAAACAUACCGUUCAGGGGAUUUUUCAAAUAAAUGAAACUUAUUUAAAUGACAGAUCUGUGUGGAAAUGAAAGUUGUCUUUGCACCGAAUUAUUGUGUUUUUUGAUAACAUCAUCUAUUUAAUAUUACUAGAUUUAAUAUUAAUAUUAAUAUUUAAUAUUAAAUGGUAUUAUUAAAAAUACCAUCAAGGUCGUACAGCAAGAGAACAUACCAUUCAGUGGAUUUUCCUAAAAUUAGUGCUUAUUUAAAUGUCAGAUCUGUGCAGAAAUUAAAGUUGUCUAUGCACCAUAUUAUUGUUUUUUUUUUUUUUUUUUUUUACCAAUUCAUCUAUUUAAUAUUACUCGAUUUAAUAUUUCUGUAUUUAAUGAUACAUUUUCUGUAUUUAAUGUUACAUUUUAUUUGGCAUUCUUUAAUUUAAAAAUGGCCAUUUUCAUUGUUUUCCAGUAAAAUACUUUCCAAAAAGCUAAAUUUAAGUACUACAGAAGAUGCAAAUUGUGAUCUCAUCUAUCAUAUCAUGUAUGGGUUGUGAAUUAAAUGGAACACUGGCCUGUGGGAUUUACAGCCUGGUUGCUGAAUGAGGUUUCAAAUCACUAUUUGGCCUGAAUCAACCCGAGGUCUAAGGGCACGCCUGCAGAUAAGCAGGAGCACGACUGUCUCUCAAUGGGUCAGAGACCUCGCAGAGACUCUGUCCUCAACCCUAAUGGAGUGGAAAAUGUCUCUGGGAAUGAGUCCUCAGUCCUCCUCAUCAAUUAUAGAAACUCUGCCUUCAAACACUCCAGCAGCGUGCGCACAAGCCUCUCACAGCUCUCUUAGGAAAUCCACUGCCAUUUUAAAAGGCCAAUCUGUGUGUGACAGAGUGACAGGGAUUCUCAACCUGCGCUAAUCUUGAUUCUUUUCUAUAUAUUAGACAUAAAAAUAUCCAGCCUUGAUUAACUAUUAUGACCUAUAUGUCUCUAUUCUCAAACUGUUUCAUUAUCACGAUCAUCCUCUAUUACAUCUGAGGUCAAAAUGUGCUAACAUCACCCAUGUGGCUGUCUUAGCAAACUGUCUCUUAGAUGUUCUUGCAAUCUUUUUUCACAUGAGCAUGCAGAAGCCUUAAUACAGAGAACAACUAUAUCUUCCUCAUAUGCAUCACCUCGACAACAGACAACUUGAUACAACAAAUCGCAUAAUAACAUCCAGUUAAUAGUAGGUGCAGCUACACAGCACUGGCUAGCUAUGUUUAAACUACCAUAGAUAAUAAAGAGAAGUGAGUCAUGAAGCAUGAAGCUUACACUUCAUGUAAGGUUAAUGUAAGCGAAGGGGAAUUCUCACAGUGAUGCAGUGGUUAACCUGGGGUCAUGUGCUGCUCUCAAAUCCCUACUGCUCCCUCCAGGCAUAAAUCAGCCAGCAGAGAUCACAGCUGGGUAGCUUGAAUAUAUAACAGUAAAUCUCAAAUUAAACACACAACCCAGACACCAGGAUGCCUCGCUUUAACCAGGCCACAGUAGAGGUGUGCACACGACUGUUUUUCUAUCCUACUUCAUCAUACUAAGCUCAUGAGGGAUUUCUGACCAAUCACGUCCACUCCUGCAGUUACUUUUGUUAUGAAUUAACUUAAUCGCUUCUGUUUUCCAAAAUAUAAAGACUCUAGCUAGGAUAAAGCUGUUACUAAAGAUGAAUAAAUGAAUGAAUAAAGCCCAAUUUACACAAAAGAUGAUGUAAAUGCAUCAUGCAGCUCCGUGUGAGCAUGCUCAUGUCCAAUACAUGGGCAAUCAAGGUGGCCUUUUGUACGUCCGUUCCUGUCAGCAUGGUGACACGCUGUUGUGACAUUUUUUUGUUGAGUCCUGAAGUCCUGAUGCACACCUCCAGGCCAGAGCCGCAAACUUCUACAGCCAGAUGAAGUAAUGUUGAGAAAAACCUUUUGUGUGCAUCAUGGCUUAUUCAUGAUGAUGUUGUAAUUUCCUGUGUAAAAUCUUCACGAGCAACCAAACAUAGCUGUAUCUAAUGCAAUGUGUUACCAGUAACACAAAUAUCACAUUUAUAACAAUCUCUGUAACAAUCAAAUCCACUGAUUUGAUCCAGGAGUCAUCACAACUCCACACCCAAAUCUGAUAUAGAUAUUAUAUCAUUCCCACUCGACUACACAUACCAGCUCUCUCGCCUAAAACCUUUAGAGGUUUUCCUGUUUCCUGUGUGCAUUUCUGACUGUUCUUUUCUGAUUUUUCUGAUUUUGACCCCUGCCUGAUUUCUGACUAUAAAUGUGUCUUCUUGUUUGAAUUCCCCACAAAAGGCUGAUUCUGACAUCUAUCUGCCUCCGCUUCAUUAUCAAUUAUUCAUCACAACAUUAUUAAAAGAGUAUGAUAUCCUUUUUAAAACUGCAUCACAUUCACUACAGACAAAAUUUUCAUGUAUACUUUUUCCCGUACUGCGAGAAGAAUGAAAAAACCCUUAACUAGAAACUCAGUUACAUUAGUGGUCUAAGGGCAGUUGAUAAAUUUUGUCAACGAAAUUAUAUCGUCAAAACAUGAAGAUAUAGGCUAAAUUUAAAACUAUGAUGAUACGAGGAAACUUUCCAACACUGGCACAAUACACAAACACAAGUAUUUCUAGUUAAUUACACUUUUCCUGAGGUUUCAUGGGUGAUUAUGCAGAAACCUGGGGACAUUCAUGUUUAUUUUGAGCUACGUCAACUACAAGGGUAACACAUGACCACAAAUGUUUCCCUCUGAAAAAAGCUGGAAAGAUGAUUUACACAGAUUUAAUUUCAGUGUAAUUCACAAAUAUCCUUUAUGAAAGCAUUCACUGUGCGUUUUCUCAUUUCGUAAACAUUUAUUGACCAUCCCGGCAACAUUACAGUUCUUUUAUUACUACGGCGAAACGUGUUGAAAUGAUCGUCCGUGAUAAUUACACACACAGUACAGAUGAGGUUGACAAACACUACAGCAUUCCUAUAAGAGUUCAGUAAUUAUUUGUACACUGAACAGUUAACCACCCUGAAAUUAUACCUGAGUCAAAGAUAACAGAGGCAUAAUCUCCUCUCCUUAUCUGACCAUUUUGGAAAGGAAUCCAUUAUGAAAGGUAAUUCCGGUUAAGAGAUGAGCUUUGCGAGUCAGCCUGGUAAUUGCUCUGCUGAGAGCGGGGAAAAGCAUGUGCUCCAUGCAGCUUGCCGGGGUGGAGGAUAAUUGAGCGAGCUUCUAGAGGGAAAGGACGCAAAGGGGGUAAUUACACAUUCAUCCUGCCUAACAACAACUCAGAGAGAGCCAGAGAAAGACACACACAGAUAGCUAGUAGAGGUGAGAUCAGGCCGUGCUAUAUGUAGAAAGAAGACAUUACACAGAGGAUGAAAUGAGAUGAAAAGUGAAAGAGGAAGGAAGAGGUAAAAAUACAGUGUGGGUCAAAAGGCAUUUUCUCAGUAGGCCUACAUAGUGCUUUGGAGCUUUACUCCAUCAUACUUUAUCAGCUAGUUUACUUAGCUGUUACUACAAGGCUGUAGUUGUUAAUUACUUCAUUGUUUUACUCUAUAAGCUGUGUUUCUUCUUGUAUAUGCCCUUUUGCACUUAAAAUACUAGGUAGAUUAAGUACAGACUGACAGCACUAGGGUUGUUCCGGUGUCAGGGUUUCAUGAUUAGUCAUGGUGCAUGAUCAGGCGUUUACCUCAUCGUUGACUUCUUCAAAAAAUGUACUCCUGUCUAGAAACAUCUAAUGGUUCUUCUUCUUUUUUUUUUACCCAAUCAAGUUCCUUACUUCAGUGAUUCUCAUCACCAGUGUGUCACCCUGUGAGUCCAUACCUCUGGACUCACCCUAAAACAUCCCACUAAAACCGUAGAUUCUCUGCAGGGAGGAUGGAACUUUUGCGACUUUAUCAUACACACAGAAGAACAUGACAUUGCUGAUCAAAACUGAAUGAAACACCGGCUAUGUUUACAUGCACAUCAAAUUCCGUUGAAGGUCUAGAUUCGGGUUGCAGCCGUGUUCCUAAUACAAUACAGGCUUCGGAAUAUUCCUGUAUUCAUGGUUGCUGUAAGGAUGCCUGAGUUGCCAGUCCUAAAUACCUAGGAUACAGCUAAGCAUCUGUUAGGACCCACAAUUCCUUGCGGACUGAGCAUGCACAUAUAUCUCCUUUUCUGAAUAAGGUGUUUACAUGCUACAAAUUUCCGAUUAAAACAGGUAUAUUCCACUAGUGGGAAUCGGAAUUUGUGGAAAUUGUCUUUAAUUAUUGUCUUAAUCUGAAUCAGGCAGUCGGAUUGCAGCAUUUACGUGACUCAAUACUAAUUCGAAUAUUGCCAGAUUAUGAUUAUAUCAGAAUAUUGAUGCGCAUGUACACGCAGCCAAUGAUUUAGUUUGUCUAAGCAGCAUUGAACUUUUUUUUUUUGGCUCUACAUUUCCUCACAGCCACUCUGUCUUUCAGCUUAUAACGUUAACGUGAUAAAUACUGACAGUGUGAGAGUUUUUAUGGAAAAGUCAUUCACAAAAAUAAGAAAAGAAGAAUAAUUAGAGGAUUUGAUCUUUUUUGUUGUGCAAAAAGAUUUUGUAAUCGUUAAACAUCUUUAAUACCUUGAUACAGUGAAACUAUGAAAGACUAUUUUAGUCUAGGCUAUUAUAUCAUGAAAAUAUCAAACCAUCACACCCCCAUACAUCACCACAUACCACAAAAAACACCCAGACAGUUAAAAACCUGGGAGUUUGUGGUUUUGUGCAUUACAGCUGUUUAGCUAAUAUCACAGGUGAUGAUAUGAAUUAACCCCCUUAAACUCAGCAGUUUCUCAGUCUUGUUACUACAUACCUUUUGCUAUUAGUUUCAUCAUAUGUAUUAAAUAAUUCAUAGGAAAUACUGGUUAACAGCUUUUAAGAUAAACAGCUGAAUAAUAACCUGAGGUAUUAAGCAGUUAAUUAAAAAAAGCCAAAAAAUAUGUGUGAUCACAAUUAAAGCAAAUAUUUUAGGCACAUAUUUAAAAUAAAAAAAAGCAGUAUGGCAUUAACACUCAGUUAAUUUGUUAGAAUGACUAUAAAGCCUUCAAUAUACUCUGCACGUUAUUGACUUCAAGAGCCUCGGAAUCACAGAGGAAAUGUGUUACCCAGGAAACAAUGACACAGAUGCACAGACGAACAGACACACACACACACACACACACACACACGAGAAUGGACCAAUGAGAGGAGAUGCACAUGCGUGUCUGCCUGUGGACACGUUACUAGUUCCACCCCUUUACAAUCACACACAUACAUACGCACGUAUACACACACCUUAUCUUAUUACCUCAAGCUGCAUUCAAGCAGGAGCAAGUAAAACAGGUCCUGCUAACACUUUACACACAAUGGGGCGCGUGCUCAUAAAAUAUUCCUCUAGCCUCUACCACGCCCCUGCUCUGUGUGGCAAGGAAGUGAGUGUAUGAAGGUCAUUAUAGGAAAACAUAUGUGCGUAUGUGUGUGAGUGUGUGUGAGUGUGUGUGUGAGAGAGACAUAGGAUGCAGCUGUGACUCUAUGACAAAGAGCCAGGCACACUCCAGCUGAGCUCUGUUGAUGAGAGCUCUGCACUCUGCCACAUUAAUCACACACAAGGCUUAUUCUGCUGCAUGGCUUCCCAAUAUUCGAAUAAAGCUGUGUGUUCACACGAGCCAUUACACAUCAGGAGACAGCGGCCACAAUACACAAUACGCCGGGGCCAUUCUGUCCAUCAACACCUCUGUUAAACAAUCAACACAGAAAUAAACAUAGCGAUAUACAAAUGGAUAAACAAAAAACAAACAACUGAAAAAGGAGACAUUAAUCCUAGACAAUAUACUGUUUAUGUAAGGAAUAUAAUACGAAGGGAUGUGCUGUUGUAGGAAAAUAAUCAAUGACGGGAUGGUGGGAUGUGGCCUGACAUGAAGCGGAGUUUCCUUAAAGUUAAUUAUUUUCCUAUAAUAGGAUGAGAUUUAUUCCUCUUAUACCACAGCAAUUUGCCAACACUAAUUUUUUUUAUUAAAGAAUGACACCUCCUACUCUAUAUCCACUUAUAGUCAUGUUGUGAAACAUCGAUGAAACAAGUCACUUCCCAUUAUCGCUUAAGUUAUAAAAGCUAUAAACAGCUAUCCCCUCAUUUCCUCUCCUUUUUCUUUCUCUUUUAGUUAACGAAACAAAAACUGCAGCUUGGCAUGUUACUGGGCAACGAAAGUGUAAAGCCCUCUGUCCUGAAGACCUUCCUGUGGCGGAAAACUUUAAGCAACAGCUUUAGCUUGACUCGUACAAAGCACUGAUACUGGACAUGUUAUGUGGCUAUAGAAAUGAUAACAAUCAAAACUGACCAAUCAGAACUCAACAGCACUGUGGCGUAAUAAUCAUUAUCACGAAACAGCACCGUGUCCUCACUAACUCUAGCAUCCUCAUCAAUAUUAAAAAUCCACAUCAAUAUUAGUGUUUCUGUAAUCACUGCAUUCACAUGGUGGAAAACGGAAGCAGUCUGGUUUUAAAAAGAAAUACAGCCUUUAAUAGUAAUAAUAAUAUUAAUGUUUUAAAUUCUCUCUGAAUCAUAGACUUAUUCAUUAUGUUCUGAUCGUAAAAUGUAAACAGAAUCAAACAUUUCUGACGUAAAAUAAACACUGGAACACUAAGCUUAGGGAUGAGUGAAAAUAUAUAUAAUAAUAAAACAUGAAUAAUAAUAAUACACAAUAUGUAUGUUUUGUUGAGGUUUUGUAAAUGAACUGCCAACAAGAUAUUAGAGCAACAUUAUGAAAAACUAACAGCACAAAAUCUUCUUUCAAUAUUCAAAACAUUUAACAAGAACCUAGAGAACUGGGGACAGUAAAAUCUCAUGACUUAAUUUAUUGCAAUAUCAUUAUCACAUGGUCAUAUGGCUCAGCCUCUGGACUUCUUUCAGGAUGGGAAAUAUUAUGUUUUUAAAAGCAGCAAAUAGUCAUGCUGGGAAAAAAAAAAACAUUGUAGGUUAUAGAACUCAAAAUUAGAGAUCCAUUAAGAUGCAUUGAUUAAUAAUCAAUUUAUAAUUGCAUCAAGUCAGCCGGAAUCGAAACUGAAUCGAACCCUGAAGUCCCUAGAGAUUCCCACAUCUCUCCUAAAGGUUCUCAUUAUGAAGGUUACAUACAUGUGUGACAUAUAUGAAGAUUUAGAUGCACAGGCUGAGUAGAUAAGCACCCUAACACCAUUAUACACCUACACACUUGCACAUUAUUUGACAUCGGAGACAAUAAGGCCCACUUUGCACUAUUUUCUACACACUGUCACAUACACCAACACACACACACACAUAAACACAAUGAGCCAGAUGUUUGCUACAACCACAGAGCAAACAUAGCACAUAAACAUACAUUUCCCUUACUUAAGAAAACAUAAGCGCACCGAGUACAACCCAAAUCCUGGACAAACAUGAUGCAGACAUGGAAAUACAAGUCCACUAGCUGAAGAGCAAGAGAGAGAGAGAGAGAGCAAGAGAGAGCAAGAGAGAGAGAGAAAGAGAGAGCAUGCAGACUUUGAGCAGAAGGCCAUCUCUGAGAUUAAAUUACUCGUCCCCCAGGCGACAUGCCCAGUCCAUACUGUACUAUUGAUCUCUUUCUCUCUUCCUCAUGUGAUGGUCCAGUCACAGACACAGAAAUCAUAGAGACAUUUUACAGUCUGUAUUUUGUAGUACUGCUUCAGUACAAACUUGUUCACUACAAACUUCAUGGGAUGCAAUGUUUCAGUUAUCAAAUCUUUCUGACUUUGUAGCUGUUCUGAGUAUAUCAUAUUUGUUGACUGCGGGUUGCGUAAAGAGUGUGAAAGUUUAAAAAAAACAAAACAAAAAAAAAAAAAUAAUUACAGUCAUUCGGGAAGCCCUGCACAGUUCAAUCGGACAUAGGUGUAUUGGUUGAACAGGUAAGGGGCAGAAUGCUCGUAUUAUAUUUUAUAUUAUAUAUCGAGUUAUAUUGGUGUUUGGGCUUCCUUCAGCUACAGGUUCCUCCUCCUGCACUAUGCUUUCAAGUAACAAGUAAAAACACUGAUAAGAUGUACAGUGACCUGCAGAAUUAUUGGCACCCCUAUAGAAAAUGGGCAGAAUUGUUAUAUAAAAUUAAUAACAUGCAGUAGUGAUAAUUUAAGAUUAAAGACAUGGGAGCACUGUUAUCUUUUGUUUUAUUAAAAACACAAAUGAAAAAAAUGUGUGCAAUUCUUUGCUGUAAUACAAUGGUGAAAGAAAUAUCUCCACCCUUAAAAUUAAUAUUUGGUGAAGUCUCAUCUGGUUGGAAUAACAGCCUCACAUAUAAUUUCUAACAUGGAUCUAGACACUUGUAGAGAGAUCUUGACCUUUUCUAAGGACAGUAUCAUUUAAGAAGCUUUUGUUGAAGUAUAUACUUGUGCAUUGGUGUGAAAGAAAAUACAGUUCUCCUGUUUGAGAUUUCGCAACACAAACUUGAGUUUUUUCUGUUUCAUAUUACUUUUGUCAAAGUGCCAUGUUGUAGUGAUGCGAGUGAAAUCACAGACUCCACCUAGGACAACAGAAGUCUUUAUUAUGUAUAAGCACAAAAGUGGGAUUUGUCUUUCAGACACUGACAGGUAGCAGCAGUUUUAGAAAAAAAAAAUCUGCUUGGAGUGUCUGCUAAGUCUAAAAUGGUGAUGGAUGCUUUAUGUUUGUGUUCAGAAGUUGUAGGCCAAACUCUCGCCACUCAGAAUGUAUACAGUAUGUGUGUUGGAUGUGUACGUGUGUGUCACUCACCAAAAUGACCAACCCUAUGUAAACUCAGUUAUUAACUUAAGGGCUCUUUAGUACUGAUUCUACCAAGCAUUCAUCUCACACUUUUCACACAAGGCUUAGAGUAGCUUAUUGAAAAACACUUUUAAAAGGACUUUUAAAAACCAGAAUGUACAAUAGCGGUCCUCUUAUAGACUAAAUUGACAAAAAAAUUAAUUUUUCUUAAUUUAAAAACACUUAAACAGAUUAGUACAAGACAAUGUGAGGAAAGGAAACAUCGAGACAAAUAGUCAACAACCUGAAAUAAUCAUGUCAGCAUAUCAGCGCUCUCAGACUGCCUGUGAACACGUCCAAAUACCGGACACCUUUCUGCUGAAUAACACCCUUUACUGGUUGCUGACUCUAGCAGCCAAGAGCAAAAGCCAUUAGCCGUCCGCAUUAGCAUCUCAAUGCAGUCGCUAUCAAUCGUGAUGGAUGAGUGCAUCUCUAAGGCUCCAGCAAUGUUAGUUUUACUGAUCCAAAAGACUUCUGUCUGCACAGGCAAUGAUAGAUGUUUACGCCUUAGAAUUAGGUAAAUAGCAGGGAACAAUACCAUAUACUACAUUUGAUACGAGAAGUAGUUUCUCUUCAGCAAAUGUGAGAGAACACAAUAGUUGUUUGCUGCAGUAUAAGCAACCGUUUUAAACUUCAAGCAGGAAUCUCACUUAGUGUUGUAUGGGAAGCUUCAACAAGAGUGCUCUGGCAAAUCUGGGCCAAGGAGCUACACGAGAAAAAAAAAACAAUCAAGACUUGUUAAGCAGUUUACUUCUUUCCGACAAACAAAACAGUCACUGGACAAUCAGUGGAAGUAAGUGUGCCAUUUCCAAGCCAACAGCUUAAGGACUCGCAUAUCUAAUGUAGAGCUCCUCAUGAAGACAGGCCCUUCUGCUGUUCCACGACACAUCUGAAUGGCAGAGAAUUCAAAAAGGACCCAUUUGCAUUUGGCCUCCAUGAAAGGCCUGGACUCAUCAAACUCCAUUAGUUUUAUUAAGAAGCCCUCAGUCAGGGUGAUGGCCAUUAGCAUCACUUAGUGGGAUUUGCUAGCUCGCUAAUAUCCCCAAUAACGUGCAGUAAAGGGCUAUUACCAUGUCAGUGCCACUGCUGUGCUGGGAUUGGCCCACUACCUGGAAGAUAUCUGGUCACCAGUGGCACUGGGUGGUCCCUCUUCUCUCAUGGACGUAGAGGAUAGAGGAGGGCUGACACAUUGUGCAAAGUAACAGAUGGGCUACACUAUACCUACAAAGUGACCUACAUAGCAAGUGUACCUGAAAAAAAGUGCUAUGAAAAAAAGCAUUCAUAUCACCUUUCUAUUAUGUUGGGAAAACCCAACCAAAUGGAGCCAUUCAUAUUCAUAUACCUUAUAUAAGAAAGAUAACCUUCAGAAACAGUGAACCACACACCUGGAAUAAACUUCACAGGACCCUGAAACUGGAUACUCUUAUUACACUGUGGCAUUUUAAAUAUUUAAUGGAAGCUAAUGAAUAUAAAUGUUUCACUUAAUGUUUUAUUCUGUGAUAUUUAUUUUUGCCCUUUCUAUCUCUUGUAAUCUAUUUAUUAUAACUCUGCAUUGUAAAUCAAGGCUCGUCCUCCAUGUAAAUAACUGAAAUUAGAUUAUGAGUAAACUUUUCUGAUGCUCGCAUUUCCAGUGCAACACUGUCCUUCUUCAGUACAUGUAAAUAUACACACAGAUUUUAUUAAAACACAAGUCAGGUCAGUGAUAAAACCAAUUUUCAAUCACAGUAAAUUCUGUAAGUGCAUCUCUUUGCUGGUGCAUCAUGUAGUUGUUGUCCUUUCAGCUGAUCAUUGGUCCACAUGUUUGAUUUAGCACAGGUUUUAUACCAGAUGCAACCCUCCCAUUUUAUCCAGGCUUGCACCGGCACUGAGAGUACACUCCCACUGACUGGGAUGGUUCCCUGCCCAGGAAUCAAACCCAGGCCACAGCGGUGAUAGUACAGGAUCCUUAGGUACUAGACCACCAGGGAUGACAAAACACAUCUGGUAUAUCCAAAAUAGUGUACUAUUUUGGAAGUUUUGAUAUUCAUCUCCAAAAUCAUAGUAGAGAAUAUCCAGUGAACUCAAAAAAAAAAAAAAAAUCCCACAAAGCGUUACAAUAGGUUAGGGUCCAAACAAAGUGCCCUUGAGGGAACAGAACACCUAAAAUUCACUUUGCCAUCUGUAUGGAAUAGAAAGUAGGGCACCAUUUCAGUCAUAGGGACUGACUUCGUGUCAGGAUGCCAUGUGCACCACGCAGCCUCCCUGUGCCUUGGGACCAAUUAGUCACCCUUCUACAUUCGGCAUGGUAGAAUACUCCACCAAACACGUCAAGUUGUACACAUCAUUAUUCCAGCAGGAUUUUUAUGCAAAUGAAAGAAGGGCAGAGGGCAGGUGCUAUUUAAAUGAACAAUGAGUAAAGGCCACAAAUGGGUUGUCUUUAUUUAACCCUAUAUUUGAAGGUUAAUAAAAUUACAGCUUGCAAUUUGCAGCUAACAUAUUGUAUUUGUUAAGGGGUUGGGCGAUAUGGCAGAAAUCUUCCAUCAUGGUACACUAACACAUUUUCAUAAUACACAAAAUAUAUAUAUUACAUAUUUGGGCAAGCUAACAAAGUGUCAUCAAAGUAGUGGCAUCACAUAAAAAUAUAUUAAUGAAGAAAACCGGUACAAAAAUAGUAACUAAUAGCUAAACGGACAAUAAAAUCGGAGUAAUCUUUGCUAUAAAACCAUAAUGUUACAUUUUUUAUUGUGAUAUUAAUAUCUAAUCUCUGCUUCUGAUGCUGCAAUAACUUUUGUACACUUAGCUGACCAUAAGCUUCAGAAUCUCAAGGCUGCAAACUGAUUGGCUCUCUGCACUUCACUAUGCUGGCUCGAACUAGAAAAACAUAUAUUGAAAAAGCUAAGACUGAAAUAGCUAAUAAACCUGGAUCUUGUUUCAAUCUGAAUUUUUCAAUACAUAUUGACAAAGCUAACAUCAUCCCAUUCUUAGACCGAUUUAUUUGCAAUUUUUUUUGAAACAGUGAUGAGUAGACAAGUUGGCCAUUUACAAUACCAGUCAAAUGGCCUCUUCUUGUAAAAGUAGCCAAUUGUUGGCUCCUUUCAGUGAUAAAAAGUACCAGACUCUCUAGAGAAAGCUAGAAGUCUGGUUUGAAAGACUAUCAGUGCUGUACCAUCAUAUUGCCCUGACCCAGACUUACAUAACACCAAUGUGGUGUCCCUCUGGGCCCUUUAUUUGUCUCCACUCUGUGCUUUACAAAAGCUCAUUACGUAGAAGUGCAUGUCUUAUCUACGUCCAUCCUAGCCAUGUGCCUGAAAGCUAAUAACAAGAACAGGGUUAAUCUCUUAAUGCGACACAGAAAGCAGAAUUUACCGGUCUUCAGAAACAAGUGUGAUAUGUUAUUAUACAACAAUACUUAUAAAUUGCUAUGUCUGUCAAAUGAUAUAAUAUAUCCUCUACUUCAAAGCAUUCAAUAAAUCCUUGUAACAAAACCAACAAUGUAAUGAAAAUAGAAAACUCCUCUAAUGGAACAAGAUCCAAUGUCAGAAGGCUGAUCAUCCUUGCCAUAGUAAGACAACUUAAUAUGAUAUAGAUACCGUGUUCCUAAACAAAGCUGUCCUCCACUGCUAUUAAUGAGGAGAGAUUUAGUCCAACACGUGCCCCGAGCAUGUGAGACAUGUUCAUUCCAAACCUAAUCUCAUUUCAACUGUUAUGAUUAUGCAGCCGUUAGAAGGACAGUCACAGCAGACAGAAAACACCACUGAUCUUUUCAGUACAGUGAUUUACUGAACAAAUAUGACAAAUACUUAUGAACUUUCUCUCUUUUUUUGGCAUUCUGACAUAACCAUAAGCUUGUAAUCAUGUGAUAUACUCUUAUCUAACAAAGCACACCAAAAAGCAGCUGUUUACAUUUUACUGCACUGCAAUAAAGGAUGAAAUUAUAAUGCAAUUAUACAGUAGAUCUUUAGCAGUGAAAUAGAAAUAUACAGCUAACCUACAGCAGCCGAUCCACCCUAAUGUGAUAGCAUCCGCUUUAAAGGAUUUCACUAUUUGCUAAUUACCUUUUUCAUCUGACACUGUGCUCUCGUUAAUGGUAGGGAAGCUAGAGCCAAACCUAAUCAUCAGUAUUGUCAGUACAUUCACAAGCUGAAUGGGAAAAUGAUGCAAUGAAGAAAGACACCUUCACUCACAGCUUUUAUAUAUGCAAGGUCAUUACCAGCUGAAGACUAUUGCUCUGCUUGUCUGUCUACCUGUCAUCCAGUCAUCCUGUCUGCCUGUCAUCUGCUCCUGCUUACUCAUGGCAGCUACAAAUAAACUACCUCUUUCCAGAGCAUGCAGAAGAAGACAUGCCGAAGCUAAAACAUGCUCAGCCUCAGAGAACAGGGAGAGAAAAGCAGGGAGCGAGUGAGAGAAAGAAACGAGGAAUGAUAGGGGAUGAUAUCACGGCUCACUAAAGACGUGACAGAGAUUUCAGGGAGCUUCUGAGCAAGGAGCAUUAGCUGGGUUGAUGCCGUGACAGUGGUAGAGCUCUGAGGGGAUGAUUUAAAUGAAAAAUACUAUAGAGCUGACAUACUGCACUGUAGGUCCUAUCCUACAUUGGAUAAAGAAGAGUGUAAUUAUGGAGAUCUUUGUUUCUUUGCAUAAUCACAUACACAAACACCUAAUAAUCUAUUUAUCAUGCAAGGCGGAGCAAUAUCAAAAUGUUGAAGAAGCAAUAUUUACUUGUUUGUUUGCAAUAUUUACAGCCCUCUGCUGCCUACAAGGUGAAUUCCAGUUAAAAUGUAUACACUGGCAAGUCUUCUCUUUCCCUCCAAAUGAAUUGUAGCCCCUCCGGUAAUACUAUGUAUGCUGACACAGAUUGAUGACACAGAUUCCCCCUUCACAUCGCAGUUUUAAGGGCGAAACGGGCACGAACUGGUGUUUAUUCUGGUCUUGUUAUCUGAUUGUGUCCACCUGUUUUGUGCUAGUUCUAGAUUAGUUUGUCUAUCUAUACCUUGUUGUGUCUGAGUACCUUUGCAAAGUCUUCUUGUGCUUUACUUCACUAAAUCAUGUUCUCCUGAGUGCCUUGUUUCUACUUAUUAUGCAUUAUCCAUGGUUGAUGUUGCCUGCUAAUGCUUUGAUGCAUGCUAUGGACAACGAUUAUGAUUAUUGUAUUAACCCAAAUAAAUAUCAUGCCGACCACCCACAUUUGCAUCUGCACGUUACACACAAGUUGCCUUUUAGAGAAAAAGAGCAGAGCUGAGCUCUUGAGCUCGGUGUCAACUGGAGUUGGAACUAAUUUCUCGACCUUAAAAUUUCUUUGACUACCUUUAACACCUUCAACUACCCAACUCAGGUAGUCUCUGCUGGAAGUCUUUAGUCUACAGCAAAAUUAGCAUUUUGAAAAGUAAUAAUUUUUUUUACCACAGGGAUGUUGAAUGUUUGAUUCUGAUUGGUCAAAAGCUAUGGAUUAAUCUUCAGCUGCAAGGUUUUUGUUAAUGCGCUCAUUUUAAUAUGUUUCUAUAGCAACAACAUACACAGGGACUUGUAUGGAGGACGCGCCACAUAAACGAUUUAAAAACAUCUGUAACUGUUCAUAUGGUGACGUUUUUUGUAACAUCUAUUAAAGUUUUUAGAAGGAGUCUCCAGUGUCAAUGCUUUAAAACAGUCAAAGGUAAAGCUGUAAUUUUAGGUUUUCUGCUAUGGGAAAGUCUUCAAGAUGGAGGCCAAGAUGACAAGCUACAUUUUCUGUCUUAUUAAUUUUGAGAGAAAGAAAAUGAGAGAGCCAAUUGAGUGUAACUGUUUAUAGCUGAUAUAACAUUACUGACAACAGGAACUAACCUGUUUUGCAGAUAUUCCAUAGUUACAUUAUAUGUAACUAUAGGGCGAUAAAAUAUAUGACGUCAUGUAUGUGUCAAAUAUAUGACUUUAAUACCUAAAAAUUGUUACACUUGGAAAAUUGCUGUGGUAUAAAAGGAAUUAAACACUUCAGGUUUUAGCUGUGUAUUGGGCUGCAUCGAACCAUCCCAUCAUUUAUUAUUUUUUUAUUCAUUUAUUGGUUUACUCCUUAGAUAAUAGAAGGAGGUACUUUUAGGUCCAACCUACUGUAGAACUUUAUGAAAAUAUAUUAAUUUCAUUAUAAUGCUCACUAUUUGGAGAGUAUCAUAUGUAAUCUUUUUACAAGCUACACAAUACAAUCAGGAUGAUGUUAUUUCUAAUAAUGCUUGUAACUCAAUAAAAAAGUCACAUAAAAUAACUCAUUUUAAAAACAGUGUUUUGGUGAAAGACACAACAGGUUUUGUGUUUUGACUAAAUUUCAUUUAGCCACAACAUAGUCUAUAACAGUGUUAUCAGGCACUGCUCUCGUCACUGCCAAUUAGUGAUAGUAGUGCUGCAAAGGCCAUCAAAUGCGACGUCAUUAUCCCAGCCACUCAUUAGUGGUCCAGAGCUCUGAUAGUUUGAUUUUCUUAUGUGUUGUCAGUAUAUGCAGGCCAUUGUUUGCCUUGGUCAGCCUACAGUCUCUUUUAUCUUCCUCCCACCAGCUGUGUGAGUGUUAGUCAGAGAGCAUUGUGGGAGGUCACACCACAGCCUCAUUUGAAUGACUGCUUGCUUCUCUUCUUUAGUUUCUGUCCUUGGCUGCAUUGUAACACUCAUUAUAGCUGGAAUUGUGACUAGUGCUGGUUUGGUAUGCUUACUUACAAAAAUGCUGAUCUUUUGGAAUUCGUAUAAAUAGCCAAUUUUAAGAAAUCAGCGAAAAAGAACGUAGCAUGUUGUAAUAACAUAAAACUGCAACUCCAUCAUUCAGCAAAUUAAUGGUAUGACAACCAAAUCAUACUAAAAUCGGGGUAAUUGUGAAACAAACAAUCGAUUGUGGCCAAUCGAAAAGCACACGUAGAUAAAUGUUAUUAUAAAAAUCAACAUUAUUAUAAUUCUAUAAUAAAUAACAACUGUCUUGUGCUCAUCCCAGGAUUCUUAUUCACAAUCACCAUUUGAGUCUGGUUCCUUUCAUGGUUUCUUCCUCUUGUCAUCUGAGGGAGUUUUUCUUGCCUCUGUUCCCUCUGGUUUGCUCAUUAGGGGCCUAAAUCCACACCUGGAUUUCUAUAAAUUUAAACUUUGUGACCAUAUCCAUUGUUAAAAUACAUAUAGUGAUUACAAUAAAACUGAACUGAAUUCGGAUUGAAGUAUAAUUACAUAAUAGCUAACUUCAAUGGUAUUUUACCUGAUAUGAUCAAUCUUUAGCUAGAAAACUGUGUUUGUUUCAAUUAAGUAACAUAAUUACAGCAAUUAAUGCAGUGAGUUUUUGUUCUAAUAAAGAUUCACUAUUCAUAGUGUAGUUUGAUCAGCUUCAUUCUUACUUCCUCUAGAUUUACCUUAAUUUCUUAUGAACCAAUACUAUGAAAUGAAACAGCCUCUAAGCUCCAACCUCUAACUUCUAUGAACAGGAUGAGUCAGAAAUUGAGAAAUGUACACUGCAAAAAUGCUGACUCUCUCAGCAAGAGACUUCUACUUCAGCAACUAGACUUCUAUAUAUGGGAACCAAAAAUGGGAGGAGGUAUGUAUAUUAUUCACAAUGUGGGGUGAGAAAGAUUAGUCUAACUUGCCCUAAAAAAAAAAAAGAGCACACUGUGCAUAAUGCUUGUGCUCACCACAGUGAACUUCCUGUACCAUGACACCAAGGCAGUGAUGCAAGAAUGAAAAAAAAAAAAACAGGUUUGUGAGGAGACAACUGUUUAUAGCUGUAAUAACAUAAGUGAUAACAGGAACUAACAGAUGUUCCACAA